GAUGAACGCUGGCGGCGUGCCUAAUACAUGCAAGUCGAGCGAACAGAUAAGGAGCUUGCUCCUUUGACGUUAGCGGCGGACGGGUGAGUAACACGUGGGUAACCUACCUAUAAGACUGGAAUAACUCCGGGAAACCGGGGCUAAUGCUGGAUAACAUGUUGAACCGCAUGGUUCUACAGUGAAAGGCGGCUUUGCUGUCACUUAUAGAUGGACCCGCGCCGUAUUAGCUAGUUGGUGAGGUAACGGCUCACCAAGGCAACGAUACGUAGCCGACCUGAGAGGGUGAUCGGCCACACUGGAACUGAGACACGGUCCAGACUCCUACGGGAGGCAGCAGUAGGGAAUCUUCCGCAAUGGGCGAAAGCCUGACGGAGCAACGCCGCGUGAGUGAUGAAGGUCUUCGGAUCGUAAAACUCUGUUAUUAGGGAAGAACAAAUGCGUAAGUAACUGUGCGCGUCUUGACGGUACCUAAUCAGAAAGCCACGGCUAACUACGUG
rnacentral:rRNA from 1 species